AAACAAGGUAGAUAGGGAAAUCACAGGGCAGAAUUGUGGAGUUGGAAAUAGGGGAAAGAAAAAUGGUGGUAGAAAGAUGGGUGUUAGGAUUGGAGAAGUUAGUGAUCAAGCAGACAGUGUGGAGCAAUCAAGACGAAAACAUAAUAUAUGGAAGGAGAAGGUUACAGUUGAUAUGAUAGAAAGAACUAAUGAGAAGGUGAGAGUGAAAAGUGCAUUUGGUGAUAAUGAGGAGGUUGAAGAAGUGGCUACUGUUUGCACGGUGGAGGAGGAAGAAGAAAUCAAGGUAGAUGGGAAAACCGCAGGGAAGAAACAUAGAGUUUGGUAUAGGGGAAAGAAACAUAGCGGGAGAAAGAUGGUUAAUAGGGUUAGAAAAGUUAGUGAUAAAGCAGACAGUGCAGAGCUAUCAGGACAAGAACGAAAUGCAGAAAAGGAGGAGAUUUCAGUUGAUGUGAAAGAAAGAGCUAAUGAGAAGGCGAGAGUGAGAGGUGCAUUUUGUGCAAAUAGUGAUAAG
rnacentral:misc_RNA from 1 species